CAAUUUCAAGAGCUGGGAACGGGAGAUUGGAGCAAUCAGAAUUUGUGGGAAUGGGCUGAUUGGGAAGUAAUGAGAUUGAGCAAUACAUUUAAUUUCUUCCCAAUUCCGCCCAUUCCUAUGAUUUCUGAUGCUUCUUCCCUUUCCUUUUGCCUUUUGCAUGUCCCUUAUUUUCCAUUCUGUUCAAUGGUAUUGUGUAGGAAUCUUCCAAAGUAACCCAUGAAAGUGAUUAAGGGCUUCACUCAACGAUUCAUGAGGGUGUUGGUGGAAGGAUGAGAUUUCCACCUUUCCCUCAACGGUUUUGGACUUUGGGAAGUACUUCUUCAGGAACUUCUCCACCACCUCGUCCCAUGUCUGCAAACUAUUUCCCUUAAACGAGCGAAGCCAUGUUUUUGCUUCAUCGGCCAGGGAAAAACAAAAUAAGUUGAGGCGGAUGGCGUCUUCAAGCACUCCUGCUAUCUUCACCGUGUUGCAAAUGUCGAUGUAUGUGGCCAGAUGUGCGUACGGAUUUUCACUUGGAAGACCGUGAAAUAGAUUCCCUUGAAUCAACUGGAUGAGGGAAUAUGGAUAUGAGAUGUUGGCCGCUUGUACCUCUGGUCUGGUUGUGUUGGUGAAGUAUUGAAGUAUAAUAGGACUAGAGUAAUCCUCUAGCGUCAUCCUACGUGGAUGAUCUUUUGCCAUGAUGCGUCCUUCAAAGAAGGAAUGUGAUGUGUUCACAAAAGAAACAACCACCGUGCACGUUAUCAUAGAAAUAAAAUUAAACUUAAAUA